rnacentral:rRNA from 1 species
CUAGCGACUUCAGAGUUUGAUCCUGGCUCAGGAUGAACGCUGGCGGCGUGCAUAACACAUUCAAGUCGAACGGAGUAUAGAAAUAUACUUAGUGGCGGACGGGUGAGUAACGCGUGAGCAAUCUACCUCCAGGUGAGGGAUAACAACCGGAAACAGUUGCUAAUACCUCAUGACAUAUAGGUAUCGCAUGGUACUUAUAUCAAAGGCUUGCUGCCUGGAGAUGAGCUUGCGUCCGAUUAGAUAGUUGGCGGGGUAACGGCCCACCAAGUCGACGAUCGGUAGCCGGACUGAGAGGUUGAACGGCCACAUUGGAACUGAGAUACGGUCCAG